UGGGGAAUAUUGGACAAUGGGGGCAACCCUGAUCCAGCAAUUCUGUGUGCACGAAGAAGGUUUUCGGAUUGUAAAGUGCUUUCAGCAGGGAAGAAAAAAAUGACGGUACCUGCAGAAGAAGCGACGGCUAAAUACGUGCCAGCAGCCGCGGUAAUACGUAUGUCGCAAGCGUUAUCCGGAAUUAUUGGGCAUAAAGGGCAUCUAGGCGGCCAGAUAAGUCUGGGGUGAAAACUUGCGGCUCAACCGCAAGCCUGCCCUGGAAACUAUGUGGCUAGAGUACUGGAGAGGUGGACGGAACUGCACGAGUAGAGGUGAAAUUCGUAGAUAUGUGCAGGAAUGCCGAUGAUGAAGAUAGUUCACUGGACGGUAACUGACGCUGAAGUGCGAAAGCUAGGGGAGCAAACAGGAUUAGAUACCCUGGUAGUCCUAGCUGUAAACGAUGAUUACUGGGUGUGGGCAUGAAGAGUGUCCGUGCCGAAGCUAAUGCGAUAAGUAAUCCGCCUGGGGAGUACGGCCGCAAGGCUG
rnacentral:rRNA from 1 species